rnacentral:rRNA from 1 species
GCUUGUCUCAAAGAUUAAGCCAUGCAUGUCUUAGUGUAAAUAACUCUUAUGAAACUGCGAAUGGCUCAUUAAAUCAGUUAUCAAAUACGUGAUGGUCGCCUACUACAUGGAUAACCGUAGUAAUUCUAGAGCUAAUACAUGCGUCAAAACCCGACUCCUGGGAGGGUUGUAUUUAUUAGAUGGAAACCAAUGCGGGGCAACCCGGUAUAUGGUGAUUCAUAAUAACUUUCGGAUCGAUCUUCGGAUCGAUGCAUCAUUCAAGUUUCUGCCCUAUCAGCUUUGGAUGGUAGGGUAUUGGCCUACCAUGGCUUUAACGGGUAACGGAGAAUUAGGGUUCGAUUCCGGAGAGGGAGCCUGAGAAAUGGCUACCACAUCCAAGGAAGGCAGCAGG